rnacentral:lncRNA from 1 species
CACUACAGGCCAAAGAUAUUCAUCAGUUGGUCAUGUUCAUCUAAACACCUGUUCAUCUUUGCACUACGGGCCAAAGAUAUUCAUCAGAAAUCAUUCAUCUUUGCACUACAGGCCAAAGAUAUUCAAUAAUAUCAUCAUUUAAGACUGAGGAUGAUGAAAAAUAUUUUUAAAGAAACAAAUCCAGUGAAACAAAAUGACAAGGAUUAAGGAUUAAGGAUUCGUACUUUGUUUUAUCCAUGUCCAAAAAUA